rnacentral:rRNA from 2 species
UUGCCCUAGUAACGGCGAGUGAAGCGGCAACAGCUCAAAUUUGAAAUCUGGCCCUCGCGGUCCGAGUUGUAAUUUGUAGAGGAUGCUUUUGGUGCGGCGCCUUCCGAGUUCCCUGGAACGGGACGCCGGAGAGGGUGAGAGCCCCGUACGGUUGGACGCCUAGCCUCUGUAUAGCUCCUUCGACGAGUCGAGUAGUUUGGGAAUGCUGCUCUAAAUGGGAGGUAAAUUUCUUCUAAAGCUAAAUACCGGCCAGAGACCGAUAGCGCACAAGUAGAGUGAUCGAAAGAUGAAAAGCACUUUGAAAAGAGGGUUAAAUAGCACGUGAAAUUGUUGAAAGGGAAGCGUUUGCGACCAGACCUUCUCCGGGGGGAUCAUCCGGCGUUCUCGCCGGUGCACUUCCCCCGGUUUAGGCCAGCAUCGGUUUCCUUAGGGGGAUAAAGGCCUGGGGAACGUAGCUCUUUAGGGAGUGUUAUAGCCCCUUGCGUAAUACCCCUCGGGGGACCGAGGACCGCGCUCUGCAAGGAUGCUGGCGUAAUGGUCGUCAACGACCCGUCUUGAAACACGGACCAAGGAGUCGAACAUUUGUGCGAGUGUUUGGGUGUUAAACCCUCACGCGUAAUGAAAGUGAACGGAGGUGAGAGCCCUCACGGGUGCAUCAUCGACCGAUCCUGAUGUCUUCGGAUGGAUUUGAGUAAGAGCAUAACUGUUCGGACCCGAAAGAUAGUGAACUAUGCGUGGAUAGGGUGAAGCCAGAGGAAACUCUGGUGGAGGCUCGCAGCGGUUCUGACGUGCAAAUCGAUCGUCAAAUCUGCGCAUGGGGGCGAAAGACUAUCG